UUGAAAUGGCAAACCCAUUGAAAGAUGGGGACGCAAAGCCAUGGGCCUAAUACGCAUGUUCGUUAUGGUUGCCAGGUUGCCG
rnacentral:ncRNA from 1 species